rnacentral:rRNA from 1 species
UACAGAGGGUGCGAGCGUUGUCCGGAAUCACUGGGCGUAAAGGGCGCGUAGGUGGCCUGGUAAGUAAGAGGUGAAAGCCCGGAGCUCAACUCCGGAACUGCCUUUUAGACUGCAUCGCUUGAAUCCAGGAGAGGUGAGUGGAAUUCCGAGUGUAGAGGUGAAAUUCGUAGAUAUUCGGAAGAACACCAGUGGCGAAGGCGGCUCACUGGACUGGUAUUGACGCUGAGGUGCGAAAGCGUGGGGAGCAAACAGG